UACGUAGGCAGCAAGCGUUGUUCGGAAUUACUGGGCGUAAAGAGUGUGUAGGUGGUGUCGUAAGUUUGGUGUGAAAUCUCCCGGCUCAACUGGGAGGGUGCGCCGAAUACUGAGGGACUAGAGUACGGGAGAGGAAAGUGGAAUUCCUGGUGUAGCGGUGAAAUGCGUAGAUAUCAGGAGGAACACCGGUGGUGUAGACGGCUUUCUGGACCGUAACUGACGCUGAGACACGAAAGCGUGGGUAGCAAACAGG
rnacentral:rRNA from 1 species